rnacentral:rRNA from 1 species
GAUGAACGCUGGCGGCGUGCCUAAUACAUGCAAGUCGAGCGAAUGGAUUAAGAGCUUGCUCUUAUGAAGUUAGCGGCGGACGGGUGAGUAACACGUGGGUAACCUGCCCAUAAGACUGGGAUAACUCCGGGAAACCGGGGCUAAUACCGGAUAACAUUUUGAACCGCAUGGUUCGAAAUUGAAAGGCGGCUUCGGCUGUCACUUAUGGAUGGACCCGCGUCGCAGUAGCUAGUUGGUGAGGUAACGGCUCACCAAGGCAACGAUGCGUAGCCGACCUGAGAGGGUGAUCGGCCACACUGGGACUGAGACACCGGCCAGACUACGGCGGGAGGCAGCAGUAGGGAUUCUUCCGUAAUGGACGAAAGUCUGACGGAGCAACGCCGGGUGAGUGAUGACGGCUUGCGGGUCGUAAAACUCUGUUGUUAGGGAAGAACAAGUGCUAGUUGAAUAAGCUGGCACCUUGACGGUACCUAACCAGAAAGUCACGGCUAACUACGUGCCAGCAGCCGCCGUAA